CCUACGGGAGGCUGCAGUGAGGAAUAUUGGUCAAUGGUCGCGAGCCUGAACCAGCCAAGUAGCGUGAAGGAUGACUGUCCUACGGGUUGUAAACCUCUUUUAUCAAGGAAUAAAGUGAGGCACGUGUGCCCUUUUGUAUGUACUUUAUGAAUAAGCAUCGGCUAACUCCGUGCCAGCAGCCGCGGUAAUACGGAGGAUCCGAGCGUUAUCCGGAUUUAUUGGGUUUAAAGGGAGCGUAGGUGGGCUGUUAAGUCAGGUGUGAAAGUUUGCGGCUCAACCGUAAGAUUGCAAUUGAUACUGGCGGUCUUGAGUGCAGUAGAGGUAGGCGGAAUGCGUGGUGUAGCGGUGAAAUGCUUAGAUAUCACGAAGAACUCCGAUUGCGAAGGCAGCUUACUAAACUGCGACUGACAUUGAUGCUCGAAAGUGUGGGUAUCAAACAGGAUUAGAUACCCGGGUAGUC
rnacentral:rRNA from 1 species